UGAACGGGAUCAGUGCCUUUAUAAAAGCGACCUCAGAGGGUCCUUCAGCCCUUGUACCGCGCGAGGGCACAGCGACAAGACCCUCAGAAGGAAGCCGGCCCCUCACCAGACACCGGAUCUGCAGCAUCUGGGUCACCUUGACGGUGGACUUCCCAGCCUCCAGAGCCGUGAGAAACUAACUUUUGUUGUUCAAUUCUUCAUGUUUGAUAUGGUGAAGUUUUCAACAGCUUGAAGUCACAUUUCGAGACCAGGAAUUAUCCCUGGAGAGCAGAGAGCACAUUGGGUCAUAAUGGCCAUAGAGGGAUAUUGGACUCCUUACAGCAUUUCAGAUCACAAGAAAUGCAGAGCUGCUCUGAAGACCCCGGUAGGGCCCAGAGGUGCCCCAGUCAGCAAUACCAUGAGAGUUCUCAUGGCAACUUGUAAACUUACCUAUGUUGUACAAGGAGGAGAGAUGCUUUAGUGUCCAGUUGGGAAGGAAAAAGAACCCUGGAUCCAGAGUCAUAAGGGGAAAAGAACUGCUCUUUCCAGCAAAGACAAGUUCAUGCACAUCUCUUUUUUUUUUUUUUUUUUUCUGCUCUGUCUCCAUUUGGGUGGGCUUCCUCCAAAGAAUCAUAAAAAAAUAAGCUAUGUUUUAGAAUCUCAUUCUUCUUGAGGGAAGACCAGAAAACUCUCUCUCUAGCUCUGGACUAAUCUGCCUCAAUGUAGCUGAGGAAAUCUGGACUUCCUCAGCAGCCAGCAUUGUUCAAAAUAGACCAUCCUUGCUUUGGGUCAUACGACUCAAGUCUCAGGUAUGUGCUUCACUUCUCGAUUCUGGAUUGCCUGUCACCUACAACAAAGAAAUCGAUUUUAUCUAGCCAAAUUCAUGAGAGUUCUAUAUAAGGUUUUGUCAGUAAAGGUGAGUGUUUAUGUAAAGCAUUAUUUUUCUCACUCUUAUCCUGUGGAAAUAUUUAUCUGAGUAACCUCACGUGUAGAAGUGUAUUAUUGGGGAGAGAAUUGGGAUCCUUUCAUCCUUCCUAUUGACACAAUUAACUUCUUUGGUGCUGCUUAGAAUUUUUCAGGGUGCGUUCUGCUCACCAGAAACUAGGUUACAACACAAAAUUUGUAUCAAUUUAAAGAGAGAGCCAAAGUUCUGGGCAUGUUCUAUUUAAAGAUAUCCUGGGGCACCUGGGUGGCUCAGUCGGUUAAGCAUCUGACUAUUGAUUUUGGCUCAGAUCAUGAUUUCACGGUUUGUGAGCUCAAGCCCCAUGUUGGACUCUGUGCUGAGAUUCUCUCUCUCCCUCUCUCUUUCUCUCUACCCCUACCUCACACUCUCUGUCUCAAAAAUGAAUAAACUUAAAAAAAAAUAAAGAUAUCCUGCUGUAAAAUUA